GGAGGCGUGGCAGAGCGGCUGAAUGCACCGGUUUUGAAAACCGACGUGCCGCAAGGUACCGGGGGUUCGAAUCCCUCCGCCUCCGCCA
rnacentral:tRNA from 1 species